rnacentral:ribozyme from 13 species
AAACAAGAACAAGAAGGAGAAGGAAUAUUAUUACGCUUUUGUAUUCUCGAGUUUCCUUCUUUUCUUCUUCUUUUUUUUUAUGUGGACACAUGGAUUUCUUCUUCUUCUUAUCCUC